UCCUCCUGCUCUUGUUGUGGCGAUACAAACGGUCCAAUGAUUUAUGCUGCGUCCGCAGCCAGAGCUCUGCCACCAAUCAUGGAGUGGAUCAGACCGAAGGUCACCUUUACAGCUCUCUGCUGCAUGGCACCACCUCCCUGUAUGAGACAGUUCAUCCACGUGGAGCCACUGGAAAUGAGAGGCGUCAUCAUCCAGAGGAAGCUUCUGUUUACGUUAAUGUGAGACCAGGACAUGAAAG